GGAGUUGUAGCUCAGUGGUAGAGCGCUCACCUAGUGUGAGCGAGCCCCUGGGUUCGAUCCUCAGCACCACCU
rnacentral:tRNA from 1 species